rnacentral:rRNA from 1 species
UACGUAGGGGGCAAGCGUUGUCCGGAUUUAUUGGGCGUGAAGAGCGUGUAGGCGGCCAUACAGGUCCGUUGUGAAAACUGGAGGCUUAACCUCCAGACGUCGAUGGAAACCGUAUGGCUAGAGUCCGGAAGAGGAGAGUGGAAUUCCUGGUGCAGCGGUGAAAUGCGCAGAUAUCAGGAAGAACACCCGUGGCGAAGGCGGCUCUCUGGGACGGUACUGACGCUGAGACGCGAAAGCGUGGGGAGCGAACAGG